rnacentral:rRNA from 1 species
GACGAACGCUGGCGGCGUGCCUAAUACAUGCAAGUAGGACGCAGUUGCGAACGGGUGAGUAACGCGUCGGUAACUGCCUAUUAGAGGGGGAUAACUAUUGGAAACGAUAGCUAAUACCGCAUCCUAGUAGAUGGACCUGCGUUGUAUUAGCUAGUAGGUAGGGUAAUGGGCUACCUAGGCAACGAUACAUAGCCGGCCUGGGGGGGUGGUCGGGCAAACUGGGACUGGGAAAAGGGCCAGACUCCGCCGGGGGGCAGCAGUAGGGGAACUUCGGCAAUGGGGGGAAGCCUGACCGAGCAACUGCGGGUGAGUGGAGGAGGUGUUCGGGUCGUAAAGCUCUGUUGUUAGGGGAGCGGUACUUACCCAGAAAGGGACGGCUAACUACGUGCCAGCAGCCGCGGUAAUUC